rnacentral:rRNA from 1 species
UUUUUAUGGAGAGUUUGAUCCUGGCUCAGAGUGAACGCUGGCGGCGUGCCUAAUACAUGCAAGUCGAACGAUGAAGCUUUUAGCUUGCUAGAAGUGGAUUAGUGGCGCACGGGUGAGUAAUGCAUAGGUAACAUGCCCCAUAGUCUGGGAUAGCCACUGGAAACGGUGAUUAAUACCGGAUACUCCUUACGAGGGAAAGUUUUUCGCUAUGGGAUUGGCCUAUGUCCUAUCAGCUUGUUGGUGAGGUAAUGGCUCACCAAGGCUAUGACGGGUAUCCGGCCUGAGAGGGUGAUCGGACACACUGGAACUGAGACACGGUCCAGACUCCUACGGGAGGCAGCAGUAGGGAAUAUUGCUCAAUGGGCGAAAGCCUGAAGCAGCAACGCCGCGUGGAGGAUGAAGGUUUUAGGAUUGUAAACUCCUUUUCUAAGAGAAGAUUAUGACGGUAUCUUAGGAAUAAGCACCGGCUAACUCCGUGCCAGCAGCCGCGGUAAUACGGAGGGUGCAAGCGUUACUCGGAAUCACUGGGCGUAAAGAGCGCGUAGGCGGGGUAAUAAGUCAGAUGUGAAAUCCUGUAGCUUAACUACAGAACUGCAUUUGAAACUGUUAUUCUAGAGUGUGGGAGAGGUAGGUGGAAUUCUUGGUGUAGGGGUAAAAUCCGUAGAGAUCAAGAGGAAUACUCAUUGCGAAGGCGACCUGCUGGAACAUUACUGACGCUGAUGCGCGAAAGCGUGGGGAGCAAACAGGAUUAGAUACCCUGGUAGUCCACGCCCUAAACGAUGAAUGCUAGUUGUUGCCCUGCUUGUCAGGGCAGUAAUGCAGCUAACGCAUUAAGCAUUCCGCCUGGGGAGUACGGUCGCAAGAUUAAAACUCAAAGGAAUAGACGGGGACCCGCACAAGCGGUGGAGCAUGUGGUUUAAUUCGAAGAUACGCGAAGAACCUUACCUAGGCUUGACAUUGAUAGAAUCUGCUAGAGAUAGCGGAGUGCCCUUCGGGGAGCUUGAAAACAGGUGCUGCACGGCUGUCGUCAGCUCGUGUCGUGAGAUGUUGGGUUAAGUCCCGCAACGAGCGCAACCCUCGUCCUUAGUUGCUAGCAGUUCGGCUGAGCACUCUAAGGAGACUGCCUUCGUAAGGAGGAGGAAGGUGAGGACGACGUCAAGUCAUCAUGGCCCUUACGCCUAGGGCUACACACGUGCUACAAUGGGGCGCACAAAGAGGAGCAAUAUCGUGAGAUGGAGCAAAUCUCAAAAACGUCUCUCAGUUCGGAUUGUAGUCUGCAACUCGACUACAUAAAGCUGGAAUCGCUAGUAAUCGCAAAUCAGCAAUGUUGCGGUGAAUACGUUCCCGGGUCUUGUACUCACCGCCCGUCACACCAUGGGAGUUGUAUUCGCCUUAAGUCGGAAUGCCAAACUGGCUACCGCCCACGGCGGAUGCAGCGACUGGGGUGAAGUCGUAACAAGGUAACCGUAGGUGAACCUGCGGUUGGAUCACCUCCUUUCUA